UCUUCUCUUUUCAGAAUUUCUUUAAAAAAUGGAGUUUUUAUUGAAUUUUUUGAUGUGGUUUUUCAUUGAAUUGAUUGAAAUCUUGAGAAAAGGUAGAUUUUGUAGUGAUGAUGGAUUAGAAUGGGAGCUGGAAUCGGAUUCUUUCAGUAUUUCUGACAUUUCAAUUGCAGUGUAAUUGUGAAGUCUCCUACAGUAAACGUGGCAUGCACCUCAAAUCUGGGCCACCCAAAUGGUGGGACCCACAUUAGAAUUUGGGAUGGAAUGGAAUUCGUUUGGAUAUUUUAUUUGUUGAGUAAGUGAAGUUCCUACUGUACAUGUGGCAUACACCUCCAAUCUGAGCCGCCCAAAUAGUGGGACCCACUGUAGAUGGAUUAUAACCUUGCCGGUUGGUGGGUGCCUAAUGGAAGGUGAAAAUUCAAAGUUGUAAAUGGCCUAAAUUCAACAAACAAAUGUCCAUCAAUUAGAUGUCAGGAUGCAUGGGUGCAGGCUCUGUUAUAAUAAGAUAGACUAAUACUGAUGUGGCUAUCGUAUCUGAGGGGAAUGACAGGGUGCUGGGUGUUGUACAACUGCCACAAUGCAGUGGUCGCUGCCCUACUAUACAUGUGGUGUGUGCCUCGAAUCUGACUGCCAAAACAGUGGGCCCACCCAGAAGUUACACUGAGAGUUUGAUCCUAGCUGGCAUAUUGGUGGCUUUCUAAUGGAUGGUAAAAAUAGAAGUACUAAAUGGUCCAAAUUUAACCAGUGAAUGUCUGUUAAUUGGAGGUCAGGUGCGUGCUAAGUGGAUAACUGGGAGUCAAGCAAUGUCAUUGUGGUAUCAUCAAUGUUUUAAAACCUGCAUCCGACACACCUAGCUUGGUAGCUGAGCUGGUGAGUGUAACCGCUUUCCUGAGGUACGACCAGGGAUCAAGCCUUGCAAUGGGCUUUUGGUGAGGCAGUGCCCCAGUGCUUGGACUGGAUAUCAACAUGUUUUUUGUGGGUGGGUUGGCCUACCCAGUCAGACCUGCUCGGCCCAUAAAUCUGCCCAAUAAUUAAAAGACGGAGGGAAUUAACAGCUAAUCUGCUCUUACCUAUUACUCUAAUAGUUAGAGUUUGAUUUUUGAGUAGAAGUUGUGCCGUUUGAGCUUUGACGGAUGGAAUGGCAUUUUGCUUCACCAAAAAACUUUUCCCCAUUACUGACUUGGUUUUAAUCAGCCAGCCGUCCCAGUCCUAAUUGGUCAUAUUGCCCAAUCUGGUUUGGGUUUUAAAACAUUGGGUGUAAUUCCCUGUCACUCACCUCUUUUUGAUUUUUCUGAUUCCCAUCAUGAAGGGUGAUGAGGUGCAGUUUCUAGGCGAAUCACUAAGUAGCUUUAAAUUUAAGUGCAUACAUAUUUAGGUUUGCCAGCACCACUAUCAUCCUUUAAAUGUGGUUGCCAACUUGGCACAUGUGUGGGGCAUUUUGCUUUAAUGCUUAAGAUGGUCUCCACCACGAAGAUAGCCUAGCCUGGUGCAAAAUCUCCCAAAUCCAUUCAUCAGGUGGGCUACAUGUUUGUGUUGAAUGUGGACCGUUGGCAUUUUUUUUCUUAACCACCCAAAUCUUUUUGUGUAGGAGUGAUCUACCUGACUGGUAUUUCACUAGAUCAUCUACAAGGGUCUCUCUUAUGCUCUCUUUGCACAUGUGCUGCAUCUAAAGGAUAUGGGGCUAGACAACCUCAGCCAUAUGUUAGAAAAGGAAUAUUUAUGCUCCAACCUGCACACGUGCUUUAUUUGUUUGGAUCAUGGAAAUUUAGGUUGAGGUUGGUUAGAGAAGUGAAUUGAAUUGCAAUAUUGACUUUAAUUAAGAGGUGACAACAAAAUAUAAUAAUGUUUCUUAGUGUUUAGAACAAAUCAGUAACCCUUUAAUUGCGGUUGCUUUUCUUUCAAGUGGUCUUGAAACUAAUGUAAUUGCAGUUUGGAGAUCGACCUUCAAUAUCAAGGCUGGGGAGAGCAGAUAACAAUUUGGAUACUUCCACCUUAUGAGACUAAUAAUUGUGACUCAAUUCAGUGGUUAAUCCAAAUGCACCAUUAGUUUGAUAUUGUAAGAAAUCAUUGAAUAGGGAAAUGAGAAAGAAAAUUUUCUUUGGAAAUGAUAUUUAUGCCCCAUGUUUUUUAUUCGCAAGCCUCUCUCUCUCUCUCUCUCUCUCUCUCUCUCUAUUUGUGUUAGUAUAGUACUAUGCUGCUAACAAAAGUAGAAAAAAGGUGCAUGAAUCAGAAACUGGAUUUAUAAAUUGUGGUUGCCUUUUUUGGAAGAAAAGUAUACUUUCACCCUCUGUUUUUCUUAACCACGUUUCUAAUUUUUAUUUUGGUGGUUUGUCUAAUAGUCUUUUCAGUCUAACUUGUUCUCUGCCAGGUCUUGGAUUUGAUGUUUACUCCAUUCUUAACUUUGAUCAUAUCUGCAGUAUGUUUCAUGUUUGCUUCAUUGUAUUUUUUUUAUGUUUCCAGGCAUCUCACAUUUAUGUUCUGCUAAAUAUAUUUUUAUGGGGACCAUAGCAAUGGACUGCCAUGAUCUGUGCAACUUUGCUCUGUUCAUGGUUUGAGAGAAGGUCCAUCAGUAUGUUGGAGAGACAGGUUUCUAACUAUAUGAGUCAAUUGGCUGUGUUCCAUCUCCAACACCCGACUUUCAAUAUAUGAGUCAAAUGAGGCUUCUUUGCCCUUGAUAGAGUACAAUGGCGGAACAAGAUUCAUGCAGCUGACCCAAAGUAAUUGGGAUAAGGCUUAGAUGAUGAUCGUGAUGAUCAUGAUCUGUCAGAGUACAUAGCCUUCGAUGUCUGUGCAUUGCCAUGCAUUUGAGUGUGAGAAUACAUAAAUAUUCAGUUGUUCUAUGGUGCUCCAUAUCCUCAGAGAUAAUGGUGUAUCUUUAGAUUUUAUCUGCAUUUAUUUUGAUUUUAUCAGUUGUAACAAAUGGUCUAUAAAUAAGAACUAGUAGAUAGAGAGAGAGAUGAAGAAAGUUUUCUCUUCUUCUCCCUUUUCAUCCUCUCCACAUCUUCUAAUGUAGUCUCUUGAGUUUAA